rnacentral:tRNA from 1 species
ACAUCUUUAGCUGAAAGGUUAAAGCGUUUGUCUUCGAAACAAUAGGAUAUUGGUUCGACUCCAAUAAGAUGUU